UAGGGAAUAUUGGGCAAUGGUCGCAAGACUGACCCAGCCAUGCCGCGUGCAGGAAGACGGCCCUCUGGGUUGUAAACUGCUUUUAUCUGGGAAGAAAAAGUCCAUGCGUGGAAAAUUGCCGGUACCAGAUGAAUAAGCACCGGCUAACUCCGUGCCAGCAGCCGCGGUAAUACGGAGGGUGCAAGCGUUGUCCGGAUUUAUUGGGUUUAAAGGGUGCGUAGGCGGCUGAAUAAGUCAGCGGUGAAAGACUUCGGCUUAACCGGAGCAGUGCCGUUGAUACUGUUUAGCUUGAGUGUUGGAGGGGUACAUGGAAUUGAUGGUGUAGCGGUGAAAUGCAUAGAUACCAUCAGGAACACCGAUAGCGAAGGCAUUGUACUGGCCAACAACUGACGCUGAGGCAAGAAAGUGUGGGGAUCGAACAGGAUUAGAUAUCCCUGGUAGUCCACACUGUAAACGAUGAUUACUCGCUGUUAUGCUGUAUAGUGUAGCGGCCAAGCGAAAGCGUAAGUAUCCGCCUG
rnacentral:rRNA from 1 species